rnacentral:rRNA from 1 species
CCUACGGGUGGCAGCAGUAGGGAAUAUUGCUCAAUGGGGGAAACCCUGAAGCAGCAACGCCGCGUGGAGGACGAAGGUUUUAGGAUUUUAAACCUCUUUUGUUAGCGAAGAUAAUGACGGUACCUCACGAAUUAUCACCGGCCAAUUCCGUUCCAGCAGCCGUGGUAAUACGCCGGGUGCAAGCGUUAUUCGGAAUCACUGGGCGUAAAGAGUGCGCAGGCGGGUUUGUAAGUCAGAGGUGAAUUCCUGUAGCUUAACAGCAGAUCUGCAUUUGAAACUGUGAGUCUAGAGAUUGGGAGUGGUAGGUGGAAUUCGUGGUGUAGGGGUGAAAUCCGUAGAUAUCA